UACGUAGGGGGCAAGCGUUGUCCGGAUUUAUUGGGCGUAAAGAGCGUGUAGGCGGCCAGGUAGGUCCGCUGUGAAAACUCGAGGCUCAACCUCGAGAUGUCGGCGGAAACCAUCUGGCUAGAGUCCGGAAGAGGCGAGUGGAACUCCUGGUGUAGCGGUGGAAUGCGCAGAUAUCAGGAAGAACACCAACGGCGAAGGCAGCUCGCUGGGACGGUACUGACGCUGAGACGCGAAAGCGUGGGGAGCGAACAGG
rnacentral:rRNA from 1 species